UGUUAUUAAACUGGCAGAAUGCCCCCACAAAGCUGGCUCCAGGAGCUUCCCAGUACUCCUACACCAUGCCUGUGCCCUGGACUGCUGCCUCUGCAGGCAGCACAGGCAUUGCAGCCUUGGCUCAGGGGUGUCCCAGCAGUUUCUCCAUAGGUGACAAACUGACCCUGUAAACAGCACUUCAAGCAGGGCUGUUCUACCUGAGGCAGGACUGUGACUCUCAGUGAUAGUGCUGAGCUGGCUCUUUUUAGUAGGAAGACUUAUUUCAGCAGAAAUCCUUAGCUCUGUCAGGGCAGAAUUUUGAAGCCUACAAUCUUAGGUAUUUUUAGGUAUUUCUUUGUGAACUGUCAAGUUUCUGGUUACAGAAAUGAUUCACUGUUUAGUUGCAAAAGCCUGUUAGAAAUCUAUAUGCAAGCUGUUGCUGAGGGCGUGCUGCCAUUCAGCACGUGCCAAGCAGCACUGCCUGACACCAACAGCAGGAUCUGUGCUGUUGGGAGGAGAAAGACUAGUACAGAGAAUGUUAGGAAUUAAUGUAGUGUUUGGGUCACUCAAAUAUACUGUUUCUGUGCUUUAAAGGAUUCUUGCUCUUACUCUAACCUGAUAUAAGCACCAAGGACAAGCACUGAUUCUGUUACUUUGCUCUUUCAACCAUACCUAUUGUGCUUCAUCCCCAUCUGAAGAGCAAGAAUCUAAACUGGCUAGAACUCAUUCUGUACCUAACAUGUUGUCCUGAUUCAUAACUGAGAAGCCUGGAUAGCAGCUUGAUUAAAGGUAAACCCUGUCUUCUAGAGCAAGAGCUAAACUCCUCAUUUGUGACUAUCCCAGGAAGUCAUUCCUCCAGUUUGUCUCUGCAUUUUUUUUCCCUGUAGGUCCGUAUUUUUCCCUGAGAAGCCCAGGCUGGCGCUGCAGUACAUGUACAGGUAGAGGUCUCAGGAGGGAGGACAGCAAGAGUGAAGGGGACAGUGGUAGUGGUGUAACUUUCACCUGUUCUGAAAUGUAGAGGAUUUUCAUCAGAGCACCAAGAGGAGACCACAGGACUAGGCAGUCUCAGGAAUGCAUCCACUGUCUGUAUAGGAACACCAUACUGCCAAACAAAAGAAUAUAUUCCAGUGUACAGUUUGUAGCAUGAAUGCAGAAAAUACUGGGAUUGACUUGGUCGAUUAAUUUAAAUACUCUUUCUGGUGGAUUUGCUUCAACAUCAAGUGAAUAUAUGGCAGCUUUCUGACUACACAGACGGCUGUCACCUCUGCAAGCAAUAAUAAUAAAAUCAGUGACCUACUUCAACUAUUACUCUAAUGAAGUGGGUUUGAGAGCUGGUAUUCUGUAAUAAAUACUGACUUAAGAACAACAGAGUGAAGAAAAUGAAGCCCAGCUCUGUAGGGAAGACAUUCAAACAACAUUCAUUUUCCUAACUAAUGCUGCUUUUAUUUUGACUCUUGCCCAUUUCUUUAUGGCCUCUCGGAUGUUCUCUGACCAUCUGAACAGUAUCCAGGUAUUUCCUGGAAUCUCUGAUGCUCUGACUGUUCCGUUCACUGAGUUUAGCACUGCAAUCCUUAGCUCACCUCGUAAACAAGGUAAGUUUAAACACAGAUGAUUAGGUUGGGAGGUUGUAUCUCUGAGAUCAGAGAUUUAAGUCUCUUUUUCCCUAAGGAUGGGUACACACCGGGACAUGUUUAAUUUGGCAAGUAACCCAGGCAAGCUGAACAGUUGGCAACAACACUGGGAAACCAAAAGUUAAAGUAUACCUGCCGAUUAGGAGACAGUAGGAAACCAAACAACGAUCCGUCAUCUAUCUUGCCAUAGCAUCACUAUAAACGCACAGAGCUGGGGCCGAGUUCCGAGUCUUGGAGCAAACUGUGUGUGCCACCAGCUCGGCUGGGAGAUCUCCAGCACACACAGGGUGAGCCUGGGUCCCCUCUGCCAGGCCAGGCUGUGCCCCAUGGGCUCAGAGCAGGGUGCUGGGUGGGCAGGGGGACCUGUAUCCUGGCCGUGCAUGCCAGGAUCAGCGUACCCAGCGGCUGUGUAGCGGUACUGUAGGGUUGUAAACCUGCCUGAGGAAGCCCUGAGCCCCGCCUGGCUUGGGGUGCUGCUAGAGAGGGGUGCUCGGAGCACAGCUGCAGCACAGCCCCGGUAAAUCCCCACGGAGAAGCAGGUUUCCCUUGCCCGGCAAUAGCCGCCGGUGCCGCGCAGAAGCCCUAAG